rnacentral:rRNA from 1 species
UACGUAGGGUGCAAGCGUUAAUCGGAAUUACUGGGCGUAAAGCGUGCGCAGGCGGUUUUGUAAGUCUGACGUGAAAUCCCCGGGCUUAACCUGGGAAUGGCAUUGGUGACUGCACGGCUAGAGUGUGUCAGAGGGGGGUAGAAUUCCACGUGUAGCAGUGAAAUGCGUAGAGAUGUGGAGGAAUACCGAUGGCGAAGGCAGCCCCCUGGGAUAACACUGACGCUCAUGCACGAAAGCGUGGGGAGCAAACAGG